GGGGAUUUGGCUCAGUGGUAGAGCGCUUGCCUAGCAAGCGCAAGGCCCUGGGUUCGAUCCCCAGCUCCG
rfam:Rattus norvegicus chromosome 6, whole genome shotgun sequence.